GAGAACAAGGGGGCGGAUGUAGCCAAGUGGAUCA
rnacentral:tRNA from 1 species